CUCCAACACGUUCGUUUUGUUAAUUUACUGGCAGUCAAAGUACCAGUACUACAGUACCUAAUAACCAGCGCUAUGUGUUCCACGUUUUAACCUCAUGAUCAAUACCGUUCAUUGCUUUAUAUCAGAGAAGACCAAAUCCUUAGUCUCAUGAUCACCAAGUAAGAUCGCACAAGUCCAGAACAUUGUAAGUAAGACCACACAAAGUCUAGAAUAAUUAAAGCUUUUCUCCAAGCUUAAUACGAGAU
rnacentral:lncRNA from 1 species